CUGGUCAAUUUCUGAGACUCUUCUUUCCUCACUUUUCUCUCAUCCAAAGAUAGAAAAUGAAGAAAUUGUGAUUUAACGGGAAGAGUACUAGAUCCAGAGGACCUAGAUUUGAAUCCUGCCUCUGACACUUAUGACUUAGGGGAUCUUGGGAUUCUCCAACACAAUGACUGAUAUAGAGAAGCUUCAUUCAAUGGAUCUUCAGUUGGCACUGAUGAUAGCCC